GAGGAAAGUCCGGGCUCCACAGAGCAGGAUGCCGGCUAACGGCCGGACGCCGCGAGGCGAGGAAUAGGGCCACAGAGACGAGCGUAUUCAGUUACGGUGAAACGCGGUAACCUCCAUCCGGAGCAACACCAAAUAGGCAGGCGAUGAAGCGGCUCGCUGAGUCUGCGGGUAGGUGGCUUGAGCCGGUCAGCAAUGGCCGGCCUAGAGGAAUGGUUGCCACCGACAGAACCCGGCUUAC
rnacentral:RNase_P_RNA from 1 species